UACGUAGGUGGCAAGCGUUGUCCGGAUUUACUGGGCGUAAAGAGCGCGCAGGCGGUCGUUUAAGUCGAAUGUGAAAGCCCCCGGCUCAACUGGGGAGGGUCGUGCGAUACGGUCGGGCUGGAGGCCAGUAGGGGGAUGCGGAAUUCCGGGUGUAGUGGUGGAAUGCGUAGAGAUCCGGAGGAACACCAGCGGCGAAGGCGGCAUCCUGGACUGGUCCUGACGCUCAGGAGCGAAAGCGUGGGGAGCGAUCCGG
rnacentral:rRNA from 1 species